GAGUACACAUUGAGUGUGGUUGGUCAGCCAGUUAUGAAUCCACCUGGUGGUGAUGCUGUCUAACCCACAUUUUUCUGUUUUAUCAAGUAAUAGGUUAUGGUCUAUUUUUUCAAAUGCCUUACUGAAAUAAACUGAAAUGCAGUUUUUUUAAGAAUUA